rnacentral:rRNA from 1 species
AUGGUGACAUGGAUCCAUAUAUCCAGCCAAUCCAAUUCGUUGUUGCCAGUUCACUGCAACCGAUUGACUAAUUUAAGAUCAACCAGGAAGCAGGAGUAUACAGAACAAUACCAGCCAGCAUCACUGCCUGAAUUAUCAGCUAUCCGACUCCAAAGUGAUGGACGCCAAAUCAUGAAAGGAUGCAAGAGGAAAUUCCUCUCCAACCAUCAAUUGUACUUCAUCAGAGAGUCAAUUAAAUGCCUACUGCAGAAGACAAUUAUCCAUUCGAAUUCACUCCACCAUGAGGCAUGGGCUACAGCAGCAACAGUUGCAGUACUAGUUCUACAAUAA